UUUUUUCUCCCCCAGCCGCAGUUGAGGAGUGCUUUACAACAAAUGAUGUCAUCUUCGCAAAUAGGCCACGCUUGCUUGCUGGAAAACACCUUAAUUACAACUACAAGACAAUAGGAUUGUCCUCCUAUGGCGAACAGUGGCGNNNNNNNNNNNNCUCGCAUCCUUAGAGCUUUUCUCUACAGCGCGUCUAGCCAUGUUUAGCAGUAUUAGGCAAGAGGAGGUCCUGUUAUUGCUCAAGCAAUUAUUCCAGGACUCGAAUGAAAAAGAGGUGAAAGUGAAGCUGUCAUCCAGGUUUGUGGAUCUUGCUUUUAAUGUCAUGAUGAGGAUGGUGGCAGGAAAACGGUAUUAUGGAAAGGAUGUAGUAGAUAAAGAAGCAAGUCAGUUUCGGG
rnacentral:misc_RNA from 1 species